UACGGGGGGAGCAAGCGUUGUUCGGAUUUACUGGGCGUAAAGGGCGCGUAGGCGGUCAGCACAAGUCAGUUGUGAAAUCUCCGGGCUUAACUCGGAAAGGUCAACUGAUACUGUGCGACUAGAGUGCAGAAGGGGCAACUGGAAUUCUCGGUGUAGCGGUGAAAUGCGUAGAUAUCGUCAAGAACACCGAUAGUGAAGACAGCUUACUAGGCUACAACUGACGCUGAGGCACGAAAGUGUGGGGAUCAAACAGG
rnacentral:rRNA from 1 species